AACGAACGCUGGCGGCAGGCCUAACACAUGCAAGUCGAGCGCCCCAGCGAUGGGGAGCGGCGGACGGGUGAGUAACGCGUGGGAACGUACCCUUUGCUACGGAAUAGCCUCGGGAAACUGGGAGUAAUACCGUAUGUGCCCUUCGGGGGAAAGAUUUAUCGGCAAAGGAUCGGCCCGCGUUGGAUUAGGUAGUUGGUGGGGUAAUGGCCUACCAAGCCGACGAUCCAUAGCUGGUUUGAGAGGAUGAUCAGCCACACUGGGACUGAGACACGGCCCAGACUCCUACGGGAGGCAGCAGUGGGGAAUCUUAGACAAUGGCGCAAGCCUGAUCUAGCCAUGCCGCGUGAGCGAUGAAGGCCUUAGGGUUGUAAAGCUCUUUCAGGGGGGAAGAUAAUGACUGUACCCCCAGAAGAAGCCCCGGCUAACUCCGUG
rnacentral:rRNA from 1 species